AGGUUAUAAUUUAAGGUUUAAUCUGCCCACUGAUAGUUUAAAUGGCCGCAGUAUUUUGACUGUGCAAAGGUAGCAUAAUCAUUAGUUUUUUAAUUGAAAGCUGGAAUGAAUGAUUGGACGAGAUAAAAUCUGUCUCUUAAUAAUAAUUAGAAUUUAAUUUUUAAGUUAAAAAGCUUAAAUUUUAAUAAAAGACGAGAAGACCCUAUAGAUUUUAAUUUAAUGAGUAUAUUAGAUUUGGGGAUUAAUUAGUUUAAUAUAUAAUUUUAAAUUUUAUUGGGGUAAUAGAAAGAUUUAUUUAAUUCUUUUUUAUUUUUAUAUUAAUUAGUAAGUAUAUGAUCCAUUAUAUUGAUUGAAAGAUUAAAUUACCUUAGGGAUAACAGCGUAAUUUUAUUGGAGAGUUCUUAUCAAUAAUGAAGUUUGCGACCUCGAUGUUGGAUUAAAAUUAAUUUUAAAUGCAGAAGUUUAGAGUUUUAGUCUGUUCGACUAUUAAAAUUUU
rnacentral:rRNA from 1 species